rnacentral:misc_RNA from 1 species
GAUGAAGAACGUAGCGAAAUGCGAUAAGUAAUGUGAAUUGCAGAAUUCAGUGAAUCAUCGAAUCCUUGAACGCACAUUGCGCCCCCUGGUAUUCCGGGGGGCAUGCCUGUUCGAGCGUCAUUUCACCACUCAAGCCUCGCUUGGUAUUGGGCAACGCGGUCCGCCGCGUGCCUCAAAUCGACCGGCUGGGUCUUCUGUCCCCUAAGCGUUGUGGAAACUAUUCGCUAAAGGGUGUUCGGGAGGCUACGCCGUAAAACAACCCCAUUUCUAAGGUUGACCUCGGAUCAGGUAGGGAUACCCGCUGAACUUAAGCAUAUCAAUAAGCGGAGGA